CCUACGGGAGGCAGCAGUGGGGGAUAUUGCACAAUGGGGGAAACCCUGAUGCAGCGACGCCGCGUGGGUGAAGAAGCGCCUCGGCGCGUAAAGCCCUGUCAGCAGGGAAGAAAAUGACGGUACCUGAAGAAGAAGCCCCGGCUAACUACGUGCCAGCAGCCUCGGUAAUACGUAGGGGGCAAGCGUUAUCCGGAUUUACUGGGUGUAAAGGGGGCGCAGACGGCGAUGCAAGCCAGGAGUGAAAGCCCGGGGCCCAACCCCGGGACUGCUCUUGGAACUGCGAGGCUAGAGUGCAGGAGGGGCAGGCGGAAUUCCUGGUGUAGCGGUGAAAUGCGUAGAUAUCAGGAGGAACACCGGUGGCGAAGGCGGCCUGCUGGACUGCAACUGACGUUGAGGCCCGAAAGCGUGGGGAGCAAACAGGAUUAGAUACCCCAGUAGUC
rnacentral:rRNA from 1 species